AGAAUCAACGCUGGCGGCGUGCCUAACACAUGCAAGUCGCACGAGAAAGGGCAGCAAUACCUGAGUAAAGUGGCGCACGGGUGAGUAACACGUGAAUUAUCUACCUCCGAGUGGGGAAUAACUGAGAGAAAUCUUAGCUAAUACCGCAUAACACUUACGAGUCAAAGCAGCAAUGCGCUUGGAGAGGAGUUCGCGGCAGAUUAGUUAGUUGGCGGGGUAAUGGCCCACCAAGACGAUGAUCUGUAUCCGGCCUGAGAGGGCGCACGGACACACUGGAACUGAAACACGGUCCAGACUCCUACGGGAGGCAGCAGUGGGGAAUUUUGCGCAAUGGGGGAAACCCUGACGCAGCAACGCCGCGUGGAGGAUGAAAUAUCUUGGUAUGUAAACUCCUUUCGAUGGGGAAGAUUAUGACGGUACCCAUAGAAGAAGCCCGGCUAACUUCGCGCCAGCAGCCGCGGUAA
rnacentral:rRNA from 1 species